rnacentral:rRNA from 1 species
UACGUAGGUGGCAAGCGUUAUCCGGAUUUACUGGGUGUAAAGGGCGUGUAGGCGGGACUGCAAGUCAGAUGUGAAAAUUAUGGGCUCAACCCAUAACCUGCAUUUGAAACUGUAGUUCUUGAGUGAUGGAGAGGCAGGCGGAAUUCCGUGUGUAGCGGUGAAAUGCGUAGAUACACGGAGGAACACCAGUGGCGAAGGCGGCCUGCUGGACAUUAACUGACGCUGAGGCGCGAAAGCGUGGGGAGCAAACAGG